AGUCGAACGAGAUCUUCGGAUCUAGUGGCGCACGGGUGCGUAACGCGUGGGAAUCUGCCUUGGGGUUCGGAAUAACUCCCCGAAAGGGGUGCUAAUACCGGAUGAUGUCGAAAGACCAAAGAUUUAUCGCCCUGAGAUGAGCCCGCGUAGGAUUAGCUAGUUGGUGUGGUAAAGGCGCACCAAGGCGACGAUCCUUAGCUGGUCUGAGAGGAUGAUCAGCCACACUGGGACUGAGACACGGCCCAGACUCC
rnacentral:rRNA from 1 species